CUGAAGCAUGGCUAUUUUGCUUU
rnacentral:snRNA from 1 species